rnacentral:tRNA from 1 species
GGGGAUGUAGCUCAAUUGGUAGAGUGCUUGCCUUGUAUGCAAAAAAACCCUGGGUUCAAUUCCCAGCACCCCCA